GGGGACAACCCGCCGAAAGGCGGGCUAACCCCGCGUACAUGCCACCGGGGCAUCCCGGAGGCAGGAAAGGCUUCGGCCGGACAGGGAUGGGCAUGCGGCGCAUUAGGCAGUAGGCGGGGUAACGGCCCACCUAACCGACGAUGCGUAGGGGUUCUGAGAGGAAGGUCCCCCACACUGGUACUGAGACACGGACCAGACUCCUACGGGAGGCAGCAGUGAGGAAUAUUGGUCAAUGGUCGGGAGACUGAACCAGCCAAGCCGCGUGAGGGAUGAAGGUACAGAGUAUCGUAAACCUCUUUUGUCAGGGAACAAAGGCGGGGACGUGUCCCCGGAUGAGUGUACCUGAAGAAAAAGCAUCGGCUAACUCCGUGCCAGCAGCCGCGGUAAUACGGAGGAUGCGAGCGUUAUCCGGAUUUAUUGGGUUUAAAGGGUGCGCAGGCGGUCUGUUAAGUCAGCGGUCAAAGCCCGGGGCUCAACCCCGGCCCGCCGUUGAAACUGGCAGUCUCGAGUUGGAGAGAAGUAUGCGGAAUGCGCGGUGUAGCGGUGAAAUGCAUAGAUAUCGCGCAGAACUCCGAUUGCGAAGGCAGCAUGCCGGCUCCACACUGACGCUGAGGCACGAAAGCGUGGGUAUCGAACAGGAUUAGAUACCCUGGUAGUCCACGCAGUAAACGAUGAA
rnacentral:rRNA from 1 species